rnacentral:rRNA from 1 species
CGGGGGCCCGCACAACCGGCGGAGCAUGCGGAUUAAUUCGAUGCAACGCGAAGAACAUUACCAAGGCUUGACAUACACCAGACCGUCCUGGAAACAGGUCCUCUUCUUUGAAGCUGGUGUACAGGUGGUGCAUGGUUGUCGUCAGCUCGUGUCGUGAGAUGUUGGGUUAAGUCCCGCAACGAGCGCAACCCUCGUUCUAUGUUGCCAGCACGUGAUGGUGGGAACUCAUAGGAGACUGCCGGGGUCAACUCGGAGGAAGGUGGGGAUGACGUCAAAUCAUCAUCCCCUUUAUGUCUUGGGCUUCACGCAUGCUACAAUGGCUGGUACAGAGAGAGGCGAACCCGUGAGGGCAAGCGGGUCCCUUAAAGCCAGUCUCAGUUCGGAUCGUAGUCUGCAAUUCGACUACGUGAAGUCGGAGUCGCUAGUAAUCGCAGAUCAGCAACGCUGCGGUGAAUACGUUCCCGGGCCUUGUACACACCGCCCGUCAAGUCACGAAAGUCGGUAACACCCGAA